GUAGGGAAUCUUCCACAAUGGACGAAAGUCUGACGGAGCAACGCCGCGUGAGUGAAGAAGGUUUUCGGAUCGUAAAGCUCUUUCGUUAGGGACGAACGUGCUCUUUGUGAAUAAUGAGGAGUAAUGACGGUACCUAAAUAAGAAGCCACGGCUAACUACGUGCCAGCAGCCGCGGUAAUACGUAGGUGGCAAGCGUUGUCCGGAAUUAUUGGGCGUAAAGCGCGCGCAGGCGGGAUAUCAAGUCUGUCUUAAAAGUGCGAGGCUCAACCUCGUGAGGGGACAGAAACUGGUAUUCUUGAGUGUCGGAGAGGAAAGUGGAAUUCCAAGUGUAGCGGUGAAAUGCGUAGAGAUUUGGAAGAACACCAGUGGCGAAGGCGACUUUCUGGACGAUGUCUGACGCUGAGGCGCGAAAGCUAGGGGAGCGAACGGGAUUAGAAACCCCUGUAGUCC
rnacentral:rRNA from 1 species